ACGUUGUCAUCCUUGGUAACAACGUAUCAUUUGAUCACGAACAGAUUUAAGGACUAAAUGACAAAUCCUCUUUUGUCGAGUCUAAAUAGUCCUAAGGACUUCACCACAACAUAGGAGUUCAUUAGAAGAUGAAACAUUUUGUGAUAAAAAAUAUCAAAAUAAUUUUUAUUAAUUCAUAAUUCAUGUACAAAUACAAAAAUGAGCACAACCAUCAACAGGCUGA
rnacentral:lncRNA from 1 species